GCCUGGAUAGCUCAGUCGGUUAGAGCACCUCCUUGGUAAGGAGGAGGUCGCCGGUUCGAUUCCGGCUCCAGGCU
rnacentral:tRNA from 1 species